AGUGACUAAUGGGUGGGAAUGGAAAAGGUUGGACAAAAAGAUGAAUCACCGUCUGGGUGGAUUUACCUCCUAGAGGCUGUUGGCAGUACCUCGAGGUUAGAAGGAAGCAAAUGCCACCAAGAGCCUGCAAGUAAGUGGGACCAGCACUUGGCCCUGCUGCUCGACCCGAAGCCUAGCUCUUCACACGGGGGCUCUCCCCCCGACGGAGCCCAAGAGCAGCUCUACAGAGCAACAGAAAAAGUUCACCCCCUGAGGACAAAAAGUAGACCUUCAGACUUCUCUGCAAACCUCCAGAACUCAGCUAAACAUAGAGCAGGGGCAGCUGGUUUAUGAUGCUUCACAGGUGAUGAGAAAAAAUAUCCCCAACCUGGCCGGGAGAUGCCGCGCAGCCCUAAGGGACAGAGCACUGAGAACGGAACCGGAGACUCCUGCCCUUGCAGCUCUCCUUGCAGCCUGCCCAAGAAGCUCUGUAGAUUGGGAUUCAUUAGUGCCAUCUUACUAUUGAGAAACUGAGUCUCAGUGAAGCUAAGUGACUUGCAUGCGAUCUCCCUGGGGAUGAACAGCAGUGAAGACUUGGGUUCCUUCGAAAUCCUGCACUAACGUGAGGGUUUCCCAGACCUCCGAGAGAGAAAGGCUGAGGGUAGCAGUCCCUGUUACAAAGUCUGUACCAGAGUGGAAUUCAAGACCUCAGGGCCUUGUGAGGCAAUAAAUGUGACUCAGUUCUCCC
ensembl:lncRNA